rnacentral:misc_RNA from 1 species
GUUGCGGCGAGACGUAAUUGAAACAUGGCCGCUGGGGAGCGUGGUGACUCAGGGAUGCCAUGCCUCUGUUAGUGCAGUUUGGGCCAACAAAGAAGAUCCUGACACUCUUCAAUAUUGUAGCCCUGAAAACAUCGAUUCAAUGCAUAAGGUUACUCUUGAAGUGAAAGGAGAAGCACAGUUGUUGAACUUGUCAGAGAAGCUCAGCGCUGGAGGCAUUGCUCAUAAGCUGUGGAUUGAACAACCCGAAAAUAUUCCUACCUGCCUUGCAACCAAGCCUUAUCCCAAAUCAAUUGUGGCAUUGUUUUUCAAGAAGUUGAAACUUUGCAAGUGAUUUUCU